CGGGUGGAAGUAAAAGUCGUAACAAGGUCUCCGUAGGUGAACCUGCGGAGGGAUCAUUACCGAGUGAGGGAGCAAUCCCGAACCUCCAACCCUUUGUGAACCCAUCUCGUUGCUUCGGGGGCGACCCUGCCGUUCGCGCGGCAUUCCCCCCGGAGGGCAUCAAAACACUGCAUUCUUACGUCGGAGUAUAAAGUUAAUUGAAUAAGGCUUUCAACAACGGAUCUCUUGGUUCUGGCAUCGAUGAAGAACGCAGCGAAAUGCGAUAAGUAAUGUGAAUUGCAGAAUUCAGUGAAUCAUCGAAUCUUUGAACGCACAUUGCGCCCCCUGGUAUUCCGGGGGGCAUGCCUGUUCGAGCGUCAUUUCACCACUCUUGCCUCGCUUGGUAUUGCCCGCCGCGAGUCCCUCGCGCGCCUCAAAGUCUCCGGCUCGGCGGUUCGUCUCCCAGCGUUGUGGCAACUAUUUCGCAGUGGAGUUCGGGGCGUCGGGGCCGUUAAAUCUUUCAAAGGUUGACCUCGGAUCAGGUAGCCAUACCCGCUGAACUUAAGCAUAUCAAUAAGCGGAAA
rnacentral:rRNA from 1 species